AUACUGCUCCCUUCAUCCGAAAUUACUUGUCACAAAAAUGAAUAGAAAUCGAUGUAUCUAUAACUAGAAUACAGCUAGAUACAUUCAUUUCUCGGACAAGUAUUUUCGGAUGGGAGGAGUACUUC
rfam:Hordeum vulgare subsp. vulgare, WGS project CAJW01000000 data, contig: morex_contig_274441